rnacentral:lncRNA from 1 species
GAGCUCUCACCUGUGGCCUUCCUCUCUCUCUGCAUCGCUCUUUCUGCGUGUGAAGAUGACAGCCCUUAGUGGCCAGAGGGAAAAUGAGCCAGCAUAAAAGCUUCGAUCCAAUCCUCUGCUACUGACAAAGAAUCCUUUCCCAGAGGCUGCUGCUUUCUAAAGUAGGGGCCCCUGGAAAGAAAAGGGGGCUGAUGGAGGACACCAGGUGAGCUUUGGACCCCUUACCUAGGCCCCAAAUUGUUACAAAGGGUUCAUAUCCCAUAUGGUGUGUGUCCACUAUCCCAAGACCACUCAUCACCCACACAAACAGUGAGACAGGUACUGGUGGCACAGCAAGCUGAACCCAAAAGACCCACCCUUUAUUGAGUUUAUAGGGGAAAAGUCACGGUCAGGGAUCACCCACACUUUUGCUGAUGACCAAACACCACUCAAUGGCCCACCUCUGUUUUUUCCCUCAAAGCACCAAGCCUAGGUUCCAAAAAACCUGGUACCGCCACAUCUUAUCAAGGACAUAUCCAGUAUAGAACAAAGGUUCUACUUUGGUUUCUGUUUGCUGAUCUCUGCAGCAAUGUCAUUCGAGGCUGGGAUCUCUCUGGGGCUGCAGAGCUACAGAAUGUUGCUGGGGCACUGGUGAGCCCACAGCUCUGCCCCUUUCCAUCAGCAGUG